UGCGAAGGACGAACGAGGGUACUCAACUCGUGGUUGCCGGCAGGGCCGCCAGUGCUAGCCAGUAGGCGCCGAGAUGAAAUGACCAUGGAGCGCAGGCACUGGAGGUCCCCGAGUGGAAUGACGGCACCACGGGCGUAGUUGUUCCCUCUAGUAGUAUUUACCACGACGCAGCGAGCCGUCUGCGGGAGCCAGGAGGGCCGAUCGUAACGUACCGGACUGGUACCCUCGGGCAAAGAGGGGAAACCGGCGUGCGCUUCACUAUGCCUGGCUCUAGAGCGCGACGGCUAGCUCAGGGGGGCCUUCUCCGCCGCUUCGGCGGCGGCGGUGGUCCCUCGCUGUGGAGUAGCGGUGAUCCACCUGACCCGUCUUGAAACACGGACCAAGGAGUCUAACCUGUGCGCGAGUCUAAGGGUCCUGCGAGACCUGGAGGCGCAAUGAAAGUGAGCGAAUUUCUCCGUGAGGAGUGUUCUAUGCUGGCCGAUCCCUGCUCUCCGGAGCGGGGCGCAGGCCGAGGACUCGCCGCUAAGCGGCCGCCUGCUCUGGCCACGUGCAGCGCAAGCUGGGCGGGGCCGUGCGGGCGGUCCGCUGGCGAGUACCUUGUUAGCGUACACGUUGG
rnacentral:rRNA from 1 species